CCUACGGGUGGCAGCAGUGAGGAAUAUUGGUCAAUGGGCUUACGCCUGAACCAGCCAAGUCGCGUGAGGGAAGACUGCCCUAUGGGUUGUAAACCUCUUUUGUCAGGGAGCAAUUGGCGCUACGUGUAGCGUUAUCGAGAGUACCUGGAGAAAAAGCAUCGGCUAACUCCGUGCCAGCAGCCGCGGUAAUACGGAGGAUGCGAGCGUUAUCCGGAUUUAUUGGGUUUAAAGGGUGCGUAGGCGGAUCGUUAAGUCAGUGGUCAAAUUGAGGGGCUCAACCCCUUCCCGCCAUUGAAACUGGCGCUCUUGAGUGGAAGAGAAGUAUGCGGAAUGCGUGGUGUAGCGGUGAAAUGCAUAGAUAUCACGCAGAACCCCGAUUGCGAAGGCAGCAUGCCGGCUUCCGACUGACGCUGAAGCACGAAAGCGUGGGGAUCGAACAGGAUUAGAUACCCCGGUAGUC
rnacentral:rRNA from 1 species